rnacentral:piRNA from 1 species
UGAACCCUUGUGGCAUCCGUGUCCAGGU